rnacentral:misc_RNA from 1 species
AAGUCGUAACAAGGUAACCGUAGGUGAACCUGCGGUUGGAUCAUUACUGAAUAUAUAAUUUUUUAAUUUAGUUUGGCUUUAUUCUAUAAUAAGAGUAAUUCCACUAAUUAAAAAUAUUACACCCCACUUGUGAACUGUUUACCGUAACCUUUUUUUUAUUGUUUGGCAGCCCACCUAUUUCUUUUUGUUUAGGCAAAAAAAAAAGUGAAAGGGUUUUUUUUUAAAAUCUGGGGCUGUCGAAAACAUUAAAAAAAAAAAUUAUAUACAAACUCGUUUUUUUAUAUCUAUUUGGAGUCUAUUUUCUAAUUAUAACAAUAAUUAAAAAACAACUUUUGACAACGGAUCUCUUGGCUCUC